AAAAUUCUGUCUUUUUUCUUCAGUUUUUGGUUGAAAAAGAAAAAAUGUUGAGUCAUUUCAGUGUUCUUGUGAACUGCUACGAUAGUAAAAACUUGUGACGUUUUUGCCGCACUAUGGGAAAAAGGUACCAUUUGUGCAAUAGACCGAGAGGAGGAAGUGCAGCAAAAAACACGAGCCGAGGCUGAAAAACCAGGACAACACGACGCAAAAAUGAAUAGGGGAUGAUUUAAAACGACGGGUUUACGAUACGCCAGUAGAAUCUGAAGAAGAUUUUCGACAAACAAUUUUCAAAAAGAGUGCAGAUAGAAUUAGUUCGUCGAGCUCGAUAUUGUAACAGGGACCUAGACACCUGCAAAUUAACUCGCUACCUAGAAAUUAACUCCCAAGGACUGAAUAUUCGCAAUUAAAACUCAUGUGUAAGAUAAUUAAAUAUGUUUCAAAAGCGAAUAAAUCAAAAUUCCAAAA